rnacentral:rRNA from 1 species
AGUGAACGCUGGCGGUAGGCCUAACACAUGCAAGUCGAACGGCAGCACAGUAAGAGCUUGCUCUUACGGGUGGCGAGUGGCGGACGGGUGAGGAAUACAUCGGAAUCUACUUUUUCGUGGGGGAUAACGUAGGGAAACUUACGCUAAUACCGCAUACGACCUACGGGUGAAAGCGGGGGAUCUUCGGACCUUGCGCGAUUGAAUGAGCCGAUGUCGGAUUAGCUAGUUGGCGGGGUAAAGGCCCACCAAGGCGACGAUCCGUAGCUGGUCUGAGAGGAUGAUCAGCCACACUGGAACUGAGACACGGUCCAGACUCCUACGGGAGGCAGCAGUGGGGAAUAUUGGACAAUGGGCGCAAGCCUGAUCCAGCCACACCGCGUGGGUGAAGAAGGCCUUCGGGUUGUAAAGCCCUUUUGUUGGGAAAGAAAAGCAGCAGGUUAAUACCCCGCUGUUCUGACGGUACCCAAAGAAUAAGCACCGGCUAACUUCGUG